rnacentral:rRNA from 1 species
UGCAGUCGAGCGGUAAGGCCUUUCGGGGUACACGAGCGGCGAACGGGUGAGUAACACGUGGGUGAUCUGCCCUGCACUUCGGGAUAAGCCUGGGAAACUGGGUCUAAUACCGGAUAUGACCUCCUGUUGCAUGACUUGGGGUGGAAAGAUUUAUCGGUGCAGGAUGGGCCCGCGGCCUAUCAGCUUGUUGGUGGGGUAAUGGCCUACCAAGGCGACGACGGGUAGCCGACCUGAGAGGGUGACCGGCCACACUGGGACUGAGACACGGCCCAGACUCCUACGGGAGGCAGCAGUGGGGAAUAUUGCACAAUGGGCGAAAGCCUGAUGCAGCGACGCCGCGUGAGGGAUGACGGCCUUCGGGUUGUAAACCUCUUUCAGCAGGGACGAAGCGCAAGUGACGGUACCUGCAGAAGAAGCACCGGCUAACUACGUGCCAGCAGCCGCGGUAAUACGUAGGGUGCAAGCGUUGUCCGGAAUUACUGGGCGUAAAGAGUUCGUAGGCGGUUUGUCGCGUCGUUUGUGAAAACCAGCAGCUCAACUGCUGGCUUGCAGGCGAUACGGGCAGACUUGAGUACUGCAGGGGAGACUGGAAUUCCUGGUGUAGCGGUGAAAUGCGCAGAUAUCAGGAGGAACACCGGUGGCGAAGGCGGGUCUCU